rnacentral:rRNA from 1 species
ACGGAGGGUGCGAGCGUUGUCCGGAAUCACUGGGCGUAAAGGGCGCGUAGGCGGCCUGAUAAGUAGGGGGUGAAAUCCUGCGGCUUAACCGCAGGGCUGCCUUCUAAACUGUCAGGCUGGAGCACAGUAGAGGCAGGUGGAAUUCCCGGUGUAGCGGUGGAAUGCGUAGAGAUCCGGAAGAACACCGGUGGCGAAGGCGGCCUGCUGGGUUCUGGCUGACACUGAGGCGCGACAGCGUGGGGAGCAAACAGGA